rnacentral:lncRNA from 1 species
AUGGGUUAUAGUUGGGUCAGAAUCUCUUCAUAGCCUAUACUUGGAUAAUACAAGAGAAGUGAAGAAAGGAAGGGUCUCUUAAUUAGGGUGAGAACAAAAUGUUUGAUGGAUCAUAGUUGAGUUAAAUCUCUUCAUGACCCAUGCUUGUUCAUAUUCUACACCUUGAUCAAGGGACAUUAUAAGAGAAAUCAUAGGAAGGCUCUCUAAUUCAUUGGUCUAGUGGAUUCAAGAGCCCUAGAUCUUUUAGAUAAUUUAUCUUUAUAAUUAAUUAGUUUAUUGCUUUGGUAGUUCAUAAUUCAACAAACAAUCUCUUCCCUUUUUCUCUAAAGCUCGCCUGAGCAAGUAUUUAAAUACAAUUCAAAAUUCAAUUCUUCGUGGGAUCGACUCGUACUCGUCGGACGUGCUACAUUGCACACCGUGCGCUUGCGAUAAAUUUAAGACAUAUCGGUUAGAUAUAUAUAAAAAUUUUUAGAUACAAUCCUGAUUAUCCGUGAGAAACAGGCUUUCUUUCCCUUCACAAACUACCC